CCCCUAGCCUGGGAACCUCCAUAUGCCAUGGGAGCGGCCCUAAAAAUUUGAUUCAAAAUGGAAUCACUUAAAAUUCUUGUUUUACUGAAUGAUAAUGAGCAGUCGGUAAAUAUUAAGCUUUGUGCUAGUGUAAUGCAGAACCAGCCACGGUAGGGCUCUAGACCCUUAGGAGAUUCCUUUAAUUUUCUGAAUCAGCGUUGUACAUCCUAUGUGCCAGCAUUUUCCUUUGGCCCUCAUAAAAACUAAUCCUGCUUUGAUUUUUACUCCCGUUGUCUCCAUUGCACAUGACCUGAUUCUCUUAGGGAAAUUCUUAGUUUUUUUUUCUUUUCUUUUUCUUUUUAGGGCCAAACCUGUGGCAUAUGGAAGUUGCCAAGCUAUGGGUUGAAUUGGAGCUGCAGCUGCUGGCAUACACUACAGCCACAGCAAUGCCAGAUCGGAGCCUCGUCUGUGACCUACACUGCAGCUCAUGGCAACCCCAGAUCCUUAACCCACUGAGCUGGGCCAGGAAUUGAACCCACAUCCUCAUGGAUACUAGUCAGAUUCAUUACCGAUGAACGACAAAGGGAACUGCAGUAAGAUUCUUUCUGUGGGUAUAGUGCCCAGAAGCUCAAACUAAUAACAAAAAUAGAAUAUAGAUAUAAAAUGUGCUUAAUAGAUCCUAGUUAAAGAAUCUAUCAGGCCGCAUACCUAGCCACAGAGCUGAUUUUAAUGGAAAUGUUAAUGAAAUUGGUAAUCACCAGAAUGAUUCAACUGUGUGUUACUAAAGUUCUUCGCAGAAGACAGGUCACCCCUUCUGUUCAUGUUUCAGCUUCACUGAGCUGUACAGGAAAGACUGAGAUGGAAAACUUAAGAAUCUGCAGUGCUAUCCACUUCCGAAGCCUUACUUAGCCUGCUGGUUAAUAAAAUUAUCUGUUAUAGAAGAGAAAGUAGGGAAUUCUCUUGUGGCACAGUGGGUUAAGGAUCUGGCAUUGUCAUUGCAGCAGCUUGGGUUGCUCGUGUGCCAUGGGUUCAAUCCCUGGCCAGGAACUUCCGAAUACCAUGGGCAUGCCCCCCCCACUCCAUAGAUCUAGUAUAGUAAAGUUGAAAAUUUUUGUCUGCCACUUCCUUUGCCUGCAAUGAAUGAACCCAUUUCUGCAAAUCCUUUCUAGUGAAUGCUGAAUUUUGUUUGUUUGUUGGCC
rnacentral:lncRNA from 1 species